GAAUGGUAUUUUUAUUUAGCUUACAUAA
rnacentral:piRNA from 1 species